rnacentral:rRNA from 1 species
AGCGGAGCGUGUGGUUUAAUUCGUUGCUACACGAAGAACCUUACCUGGGUUUGACAUAUAGGUUGUAGGGAACUGAAAGGGACCGACCCUUCGGGGAGCCUAUACAGGUGUUGCAUGGCUGUCGUCAGCUCGUGUCGUGAGAUGUUCGGUUAAGUCCGCUAACGAGCGCAACCCUCGUCGUAUGUUAUAUGUGUCAUACGAGACUGCCGGUAAAAGCCGGAGGAAGGUGAGGAUGAUGUCAAGUCAGCAUGACCUUUAUAUCCAGGGCUACACACACGCUACAAUGGUCUGUACAAUGGGUAGCCAAGCCGCGAGGCGGAGCCAAUCCUGAAAGCAGGCCUCAGUUCAGAUUGCAGUCUGCAACUCGACUGCAUGAAGCCGGAGUUGCUAGUAACCGCAGGUCAGCAAUACUGCGGUGAAUACGUUCCCGGGUCUU